rnacentral:rRNA from 1 species
GGGUGUGACUGCGUACCUUUUGUAUAAUGGGUCAGCGACUUAUAUUCUGUAGCAAGGUUAACCGUAUAGGGGAGCCGGAGGGAAACCGAGUCUUAACCGGGCGUUAAGUUGCAGGGUAUAGACCCGAAACCCGGUGAUCUAGCCAUGGGCAGGUUGAAGGUUGGGUAACACUAACUGGAGGACCGAACCGACUAAUGUUGAAAAAUUAGCGGAUGACCUGUGGCUGGGGGUGAAAGGCCAAUCAAACCGGGAGAUAGCUGGUUCUCCCCGAAAGCUAUUUAGGUAGCGCCUCGUGAAUUCAUCUCCGGGGGUAGAGCACUGUUUCGGCUAGGGGGCCAUCCCGGCUUACCAACCCGAUGCAAACUGCGAAUACCGGAGAAUGUUAUCACGGGAGACACACGGCGGGUGCUAACGUCCGUCGUGAAGAGGGAAACAACCCAGACCGCCAGCUAAGGUCCCAAAGUCAUGGUUAAGUGGGAAACGAUGUGGGAAGGCCCAGACAGCCAGGAUGUUGGCUUAGAAGCAGCCAUCAUUUAAAGAAAGCGUAAUAGCUCACUGGUCGAGUCGGCCUGCGCGGAAGAUGUAACGGGGCUAAACCAU